rnacentral:rRNA from 2 species
GAUGGAGGGGGAUAACUACUGGAAACGGUAGCUAAUACCGCAUAACGUCGCAAGACCAAAGAGGGGGACCUUCGGGCCUCUUGCCAUCGGAUGUGCCCAGAUGGGAUUAGCUAGUAGGUGGGGUAACGGCUCACCUAGGCGACGAUCCCUAGCUGGUCUGAGAGGAUGACCAGCCACACUGGAACUGAGACACGGUCCAGACUCCUACGGGAGGCAGCAGUGGGGAAUAUUGCACAAUGGGCGCAAGCCUGAUGCAGCCAUGCCGCGUGUAUGAAGAAGGCCUUCGGGUUGUAAAGUACUUUCAGCG